rnacentral:rRNA from 1 species
AGUGAACGCUGGCGGUAGGCCUAACACAUGCAAGUCGAACGGCAGCACAGUAAGAGCUUGCUCUUACGGGUGGCGAGUGGCGGACGAGUGAGGAAUACAUCGGAAUCUACUUUUUCGUGGGGGAUAACGUAGGGAAACUUACUCUAAUACCGCAUACGACCUACGGGUGAAAGCAGGGGAUCUUCGGACCUUGCGCGAUUGAAUGAGCCGAUGUCGGAUUAGCUAGUUGGCGGGGUAAAGGCCCACCAAGGCGACGAUCCGUAGCUGGUCUGAGAGGAUGAUCAGCCACAUUGGAACUGAGACACGGUCCAGACUCCUACGGGAGGCAGAAGUGGGGAAUAUUGGACAAUGGGCGCAAGCCUGAUCCAGCCAUACCGCGUGGGUGAAGAAGGCCUUCGGGUUGUAAAGCCCUUUUGUUGGGAAAGAAAAGCAGCAGGUUAAUACCCCGCUGUUCUGACGGUACCCAAAGAAUAAGCACCGGCUAACUUCGUG